CCCUGCUCAGUGGUUGUGUGUCUUUGGUGAGUCAAAGCCAUCAGUGGGCUCUCUGCAUUUCUGUUUGAGUGAAAAUCUGAGCUGAGUGUGUUUGACACAUUUCUUUUGGACAGUUUCCAUGUAUUUUGGCACUUUUCUGUACAUGAAGACCAGAUAUUGCAGACUUGCAGGUUAUAGACUCUGAAGGAGAUGUGGAUGAAGGUCAACCUGUGAUCAGUGUGCUGUACGCCAUCACACAGACCAGUGACUGUUCAGAUGCUGCUCUGUCAUCAAAACAGCAUCUGACAUACAGAAGGAUUUUAAUAAAGAAAUGAUUCAAACACACACAA